UCCGCAGGCGGGCAAUUAAGUCAGGGGUGAAAUGGUGCGGCUCAACCGUAGCACUGUCCUUGAUACUGGUUGUCUUGAGUCAUAGUGAAGUGGCCGGAAUAUGUAGUGUAGCGGUGAAAUGCAUAGAUAUUACAUAGAACACCGAUUGCGAAGGCAGGUCACUAACUAUGUACUGACGCUGAUGGACGAAAGCGUGGGGAGCGAACAGGAUUAGAUACCCUGGUAGUCC
rnacentral:rRNA from 1 species